GACGAUCUGUGCCGUCCCAUGUCAUUGGAUACCCGAGUUACAGACAGACCUACCCGUCUAAUAGCUACCCUACCUAUCCUUCACACCAACCUUCCUACCCGUCAAAACACAUCCCGUCCUACCCUGAGCACGUGAACACCUAUCCCUGGACAUCAAGACCGUUACCAACAAGGUCUGCAAUGGAACCAGUGGGGAUCCCAGUCCGGCAGCCAGAAAUAUGGUACUUACAGGGGAUGAAGAGAUGAUGGAUACUACACCCCUGACCACCAGGCUUGAAAUCCUCACUAUCAUAACGUGCAAUGUACAAGUCUCUGUAAAUAAACUGUGUAAGGUUA